AGAGGUAUAGUUCAAUGGUAGAAUACUGGUCUCCAAAACCGUUGAUGUGGGUUCGACUCCUACUACCUCUGCCA
rnacentral:tRNA from 1 species